GACGAACGCUGGCGGUGUGCUUAACACAUGCAAGUCGAACGGAAAGGCCCUGCUUUUGUGGGGUGCUCGAGUGGCGAACGGGUGAGUAACACGUGAGUAACCUGCCCUUGACCUUGGGAUAACUUCAGGAAACUGGGGCUAAUACCGGAUAGGAGCUCCUGCUGCAUGGUGGGGGUUGGAAAGUUUCGGCGGUUGGGGAUGGACUCGCGGCUUAUCAGCUUGUUGGUGGGGUAGUGGCUUACCAAGGCUUUGACGGGUAGCCGGCCUGAGAGGGUGACCGGCCACAUUGGGACUGAGAUACGGCCCAGACUCCUACGGGAGGCAGCAGUGGGGAAUAUUGCACAAUGGGCGGAAGCCUGAUGCAGCAACGCCGCGUGCGGGAUGACGGCCUUCGGGUUGUAAACCGCUUUCGCCUGUGACGAAGCGUGAGUGACGGUAAUGGGUAAAGAAGCACCGGCUAACUACGUG
rnacentral:rRNA from 1 species